rnacentral:rRNA from 1 species
AUUGAACGCUGGCGGCAGGCCUAACACAUGCAAGUCGAGCGGCAGCGGGAAAGUAGCUUGCUACUUUUGCCGGCGAGCGGCGGACGGGUGAGUAAUGCCUGGGAAAUUGCCCAGUCGAGGGGGAUAACAGUUGGAAACGACUGCUAAUACCGCAUACGCCCUACGGGAGAAAGCAGGGGACCUUCGGGCCUUGCGCGAUUGGAUAUGCCCAGGUGGGAUUAGCUAGUUGGUGAGGUAAUGGCUCACCAAGGCGACGAUCCCUAGCUGGUCUGAGAGGAUGAUCAGCCACACUGGAACUGAGACACGGUCCAGACUCCUACGGGAGGCAGCAGUGGGGAAUAUUGCACAAUGGGGGAAACCCUGAUGCAGCCAUGCCGCGUGUGUGAAGAAGGCCUUCGGGUUGUAAAGCACUUUCAGCGAGGAGGAAAGGUUGGUGCCUAAUACGUAUCAACUGUGACGUUACUCGCAGAAGAAGCACCGGCUAACUCCGUGCCAGCAGCCGCGGUAACAC